rnacentral:rRNA from 1 species
AUUGAACGCUGGCGGCAGGCCUAACACAUGCAAGUCGAACGAGUGGCGGACGGGUGAGUAAUGCCUGGGAAACUGGCCGAUGGAGGGGGAUAACGACUGGAAACGGUAGCUAAUACCGCAUACCAUCGGAUGAGCCCAGAUGGGAUUAGCUAGUAGGUGGGGUAAUGGCUCAUCUAGCCGACGAUCCCUAGCUGGUCUGAGAGGAUGACCAGCCACCCUGGAACUGAGACACGGCCCAGACUCCUACGGGAGGCAGCAGUGGGGAAUAUUGCGCAAUGGGCGCAAGCCUGAUGCAGCCAUGCCGCGUGUAUGAAGAAGGCCUUCGGGUUGUAAAGUACUUUCAGCGAGGAGGCGUUACUCACAGAAGAAGCACCGGCUAACUCCGUGCCAGCAGCCGCGGUAAUAC